rnacentral:rRNA from 1 species
UGGUAGUNCACGCCGUAAACGCUGAGUGCUAGGUGUUAGGUCCUUUCCGGGACUUAGUGCCGACGCUAACGCAUUAAGCACUCCGCCUGGGGAGUACGACCGCAAGGUUGAAACUCAAAGGAAUUGACGGGGGCCCGCACAAGCGGUGGAGCAUGUGGUUUAAUUCGAAGCAACGCGAAGAACCUUACCAGGUCUUGACAUCCCGAUGCCCGCUCUAGAGAUAGAGUUUUACUUUUUGUACAUCGGAGACAGGUGGUGCAUGGUUGUCGUCAGCUCGUGUCGUGAGAUGUUGGGUUAAGNCCCGCAACGAGCGCAACCCUUAUUGUUAGUUGCCAUCAUUAAGUUGGGCACUCUAGCGAGACUGCCGGUAAUAAACCGGAGGAAGGUGGGGAUGACGUCAAAUCAUCAUGCCCCUUAUGACCUGGGCUACACACGUGCUACAAUGGUUGGUACAACGAGUCGCAAGCCGGUGACGGCAAGCUAAUUUCUGAAAGCCAAUCUCAGUUCGGAUUGUAGGCUGCAACUCGCCUACAUGAAGUCGGAAUCGCUAGUAAUCGCGGAUCAGCACGCCGCGGUGAAUACGUUCCCGGGCCUUGUNC